GGCGUGUGACUGCGUACCUUUUGUAUAAUGGGUCAGCGACUUAUAUUCUGUAGCAAGGUUAACCGAAUAGGGGAGCCGAAGGGAAACCGAGUCUUAACUGGGCGUUAAGUUGCAGGGUAUAGACCCGAAACCCGGUGAUCUAGCCAUGGGCAGGUUGAAGGUUGGGUAACACUAACUGGAGGACCGAACCGACUAAUGUUGAAAAAUUAGCGGAUGACUUGUGGCUGGGGGUGAAAGGCCAAUCAAACCGGGAGAUAGCUGGUUCUCCCCGAAAGCUAUUUAGGUAGCGCCUCGUGAAUUCAUCUCCGGGGGUAGAGCACUGUUUCGGCAAGGGGGUCAUCCCGACUUACCAACCCGAUGCAAACUGCGAAUACCGGAGAAUGUUAUCACGGGAGACACACGGCGGGUGCUAACGUCCGUCGUGAAGAGGGAAACAACCCAGACCGCCAGCUAAGGUCCCAAAGUCAUGGUUAAGUGGGAAACGAUGUGGGAAGGCCCAGACAGCCAGGAUGUUGGCUUAGAAGCAGCCAUCAUUUAAAGAAAGCGUAAUAGCUCACUGGUCGAGUCGGCCUGCGCGGAAGAUGUAACGGGGCUAAACCAUGCACCGAAGCUGCGGCAGCGACGCUUAUGCGUUGUUGGGUAGGGGAGCGUUCUGUAAGCCUGUGAAGGUGUACUGUGAGGUAUGCUGGAGGUAUCAGAAGUGCGAAUGCUGACAUAAGUAACGAUAAAGCGGGUGAAAAGCCCGCUCGCCGGAAGACCAAGGGUUCCUGUCCAACGUUAAUCGGGGCAGGGUGAGUCGACCCCUAAGGCGAGGCCGAAAGGCGUAGUCGAUGGGAAACAGGUUAAUAUUCCUGUACUUGGUGUUACUGCGAAGGGGGGACGGAGAAGGCUAUGUUGGCCGGGCGACGGUUGUCCCGGUUUAAGCGUGUAGGCUGGUUUUCCAGGCAAAUCCGGAAAAUCAAGGCUGAGGCGUGAUGACGAGGCACUACGGUGCUGAAGCAACAAAUGCCCUGCUUCCAGGAAAAGCCUCUAAGCAUCAGGUAACAUCAAAUCGUACCCCAAACCGACACAGGUGGUCAGGUAGAGAAUACCAAGGCGCUUGAGAGAACUCGGGUGAAGGAACUAGGCAAAAUGGUGCCGUAACUUCGGGAGAAGGCACGCUGAUAUGUAGGUGAAGCGACUUGCUCGUGGAGCUGAAAUCAGUCGAAGAUACCAGCUGGCUGCAACUGUUUAUUAAAAACACAGCACUGUGCAAACACGAAAGUGGACGUAUACGGUGUGACGCCUGCCCGGUGCCGGAAGGUUAAUUGAUGGGGUUAGCGCAAGCGAAGCUCUUGAUCGAAGCCCCGGUAAACGGCGGCCGUAACUAUAACGGUCCUAAGGUAGCGAAAUUCCUUGUCGGGUAAGUUCCGACCUGCACGAAUGGCGUAAUGAUGGCCAGGCUGUCUCCACCCGAGACUCAGUGAAAUUGAACUCGCUGUGAAGAUGCAGUGUACCCGCGGCAAGACGGAAAGACCCCGUGAACCUUUACUAUAGCUUGACACUGAACAUUGAGCCUUGAUGUGUAGGAUAGGUGGGAGGCUUUGAAGUGUGGACGCCAGUCUGCAUGGAGCCGACCUUGAAAUACCACCCUUUAAUGUUUGAUGUUCUAACGUUGACCCGUAAUCCGGGUUGCGGACAGUGUCUGGUGGGUAGUUUGACUGGGGCGGUCUCCUCCUAAAGAGUAACGGAGGAGCACGAAGGUUGGCUAAUCCUGGUCGGACAUCAGGAGGUUAGUGCAAUGGCAUAAGCCAGCUUGACUGCGAGCGUGACGGCGCGAGCAGGUGCGAAAGCAGGUCAUAGUGAUCCGGUGGUUCUGAAUGGAAGGGCCAUCGCUCAACGGAUAAAAGGUACUCCGGGGAUAACAGGCUGAUACCGCCCAAGAGUUCAUAUCGACGGCGGUGUUUGGCACCUCGAUGUCGGCUCAUCACAUCCUGGGGCUGAAGUAGGUCCCAAGGGUAUGGCUGUUCGCCAUUUAAAGUGGUACGCGAGCUGGGUUUAGAACGUCGUGAGACAGUUCGGUCCCUAUCUGCCGUGGGCGCUGGAGAACUGAGGGGGGCUGCUCCUAGUACGAGAGGACCGGAGUGGACGCAUCACUGGUGUUCGGGUUGUCAUGCCAAUGGCACUGCCCGGUAGCUAAAUGCGGAAGAGAUAAGUGCUGAAAGCAUCUAAGCACGAAACUUGCCCCGAGAUGAGUUCUCCCUGACCCUUUAAGGGUCCUGAAGGAACGUUGAAGACGACGACGUUGAUAGGCCGGGUGUGUAAGCGCAGCGAUGCGUUGAGCUAACCGGUACUAAUGAACCGUGAGGCUUAACCUU
rnacentral:rRNA from 1 species